rnacentral:lncRNA from 1 species
UCCGGAACACUAGCCAGCAUUCUUCUCGUGUAUUCACAGAAGAAGACAGGUCGGAAAGUGACAAAGCUUUAUCUGGGGUGACGAGAGACUCACUAACAGAAGGUGGAAGAGGAUUAAAAAGUGCUUGCCUGGGAGGCGAUUCUGAGUAUAAGUAACUGGCGCUGAGGUCUGAAAAGAAAGGUUUGUGUUGCUCUCAGAUCUGGUCAGAGAAGCUCCUUCUGGAAGUGGGUUCAUAGCUAAUCAAAGUGCUAAGAAUAAGUAAUGAUGAGUGUUCGAUUGUUCACGGAUCAUCCGUGUCAACCCUCACCUACUCCAAGGCUCAAGGAACGUCAAAAACACAAGAUAAAAAGAAAGCAAGAGGAUGGGUAGGAGAGCCAUUGCACCUAUGAACCUGGAACUGUGCUUACCUGCAUACGACCUGAACAGCCAGAAUUCCAGCAUCAACCGGGGACUGGUUCCUGAGACCCGUACCCCUAGCUGCAGAGUUAUUGGUAGUGGAAGGCUGCUGAAGGAGAGUCACUUUUCUUUGGAUGUUUGAUGCUGGAUAAAAAUCCUGGCACUCAGCAGAAAGGAAAGAGAAGAGAUAAGCCUGAAUUUAAAAAGUGAUUGUGUGAUCUGACAAGAGUCCAUGAAAUGGAGAGGGGGAUGUCCCCAUCACAGGUCCUCUGCAGCUUCUGGCCUCUGGCAUUGUUAUACCCAGGAUUCCAAAUGUAGACUGGCAGAAUCACACCCCUGCCAGAGCAUGAGACAAAUCACAGUCAGCUGCUGUGGACAAUCUGAAGCAGCCCCAUGUCCGACAACCGGGAUUAAACAAAAUCAUAUUCAUAUAAAAUAACUGAGUUUUGAAAAUAC